UUGCACUGGGAGGAUGUCGAUGAGAAUCUGCUUCGUACUUUUGCUGGCACUCUCUGCUAGUUUUGCUACAACGGUCAAGUGUCCGAAUAUUAUUAAAAGGAGUCAAUGGAGCAGUGUCCUUCCUGGAGAAGUGAAUUAUUUAAUAGUACCGAUACCUUACGUGAUAAUACAUCACACAGUCAGCGGCGAAUGUGAUACGCGAAGGAGUUGUACAACUGUCGUCGAUAAUAUUCGCAGUUAUCACAUGGACACAAAUGGUUGGGAUAACAUCGGCUAUUCUUUCUUGAUUGGCGGCGAUGGAAAUGUAUACGAGGGAUGCGGAUGGACACACGAAGGAGCACAUACAUACGGAUAUAAUAAAAAAUCUGUCGGUAUAGCUUUCAUUGGGAAUUUUGAGCGAAAGGAAGCUAAUCAGACAAUGGUAGAUAUUGCACAUCAAUUAAUCAAAUGUGGAAUAUCCCAAGGUAUCCUUCGAAACAAUGUACGCGUGCUUGGUGGACGACAGGUGGGUCAGACAGCUAGUCCUGGAAAUUAUCUUUACACGCAAAUUCAAGAUUGGCCUGAAUGGAGUAGCGAUCCUUAGACAAGUGUUUCGGAAGUGGAUGCUCUUGAUCAAAUCGAGGUGCCCAAGUUUCAUAACGAAAACAAAAUAUUUUUAAUUGUUUAAUUUGUAAAUUGAUCAGAAUUUCAGCCUCUUUAAACAAGAUUUGUAAGGUAAUUUCGUUAUUCUCGCCGAAGGCCUGAUUACCGUUUACAUUAAUUCGUGUCUCGUUCGAUAGGAUUAUGUAAAGCAAGCUGAAGCUUUCUAUCGCUGUUUUGUCGCAACUCAUUAGCAAAAUUAACAAAAAGUAUGACAAAUGUAAGACCGUAAGAAAUAUACGUCAAUAUUCGAGAAGAACGCAUGUAGACGGCGCGGAAAUAAAUCGUGGAGAUUGUGACGAAUUUAGGAGAUGGAACGGUAUGACGUCGCAACGUAUAUCAAUACUAUUCAAGUUUCAUUCUUUUUUUUUUCGAUUAUUAGGAGAUCACGUAAUUACUAAUAUACAAAUGAUACAUUAUCACCGAGAGUUCUCUUACACAGAAUAAAUAUAUUGCGCAUAUUUUAGCGGGUUUUUCAAGAAUGACGCAAUCGAGCCGUGCUUAAGUUUUUUUCUUUUUAAUCAUAGUUAUUAUUAUCGUUAAUAUCCAUAUAAUUAUCAAUAACUACAGUAAAACACAAAACAAAAAAGGAUAUAGUGAUAUCUGUACAUUCUCCUUAAAUGAUUAACGUAAACAUUUUUGUAUACCUUGUAGCCUACAAAUAGGAAGAAACUAAAUCAUAAUAUUCACAGAUAUUUUACAAGAUAGAUGAGGCUCGCCGACCUGCGCACGCAUCGCGUAACAACGAUGCAGGAAAACUUUUAAUCCUGCACCUGCACACUACAUAACUGACUGCUGAAAAAAGAGCGAAGAGGAAAACACAGCGCUUUCGUGAAAAUAAACGAAACGUCACGCGACACGUGCGCACGUUCGUGCCUUAUGUACUUAUUCAUAGCUAUAAUAUAUACGUGUUUCUUGUUUUUUAUCACCUGCUCGCUCAAUUAUACCUCUACACUGUACAUAUCCACAACGCACUUUUACACUGUACAUGCACACGCUCCGCGAGUAUCCGCGCUGCCUUAAAGUAAUUGUAAACCGCAGGGAUGGACGGAACAAUAAUUACGAUGCUAUUCAUCGCCAUAAAAUUAACGGAUUCAUCGAAUCAGUCUAAUCAUCUUUCUAAAAUUAACAGCAGAAUGAUGAGAUAAGUAAAUAAAAAAAAAACGAUCGUGUUUUUUGCUCUAACGUUGCAGUUAUAUCCAUAAUUUUCACAAACAGUACUA